AUUGAACGCUGGCGGCAUGCUUUACACAUGCAAGUCGAACGGCAGCACGGGCUUCGGCCUGGUGGCGAGUGGCGAACGGGUGAGUAAUAUAUCGGAACGUACCCAGAAGUGGGGGAUAACGUAGCGAAAGUUACGCUAAUACCGCAUACGAUCUAUGGAUGAAAGCAGGGGACCGCAAGGCCUUGUGCUCCUGGAGCGGCCGAUAUCUGAUUAGCUAGUUGGUGAGGUAAAGGCUCACCAAGGCGACGAUCAGUAGCUGGUCUGAGAGGACGACCAGCCACACUGGAACCGAGACACGGUCCAGACUCCUACGGGAGGCAGCAGUGGGGAAUUUUGGACAAUGGGCGCAAGCCUGAUCCAGCAAUGCCGCGUGAGUGAAGAAGGCCUUCGGGUUGUAAAGCUCUUUUGUCAGGGAAGAAACGGUAGAGGCUAAUAUCCUUUGCUAAUGACGGUACCUGAAGAAUAAGCACCGGCUAACUACGUG
rnacentral:rRNA from 1 species